AAAAUCACAUUACAAAACAUUUUGUUAUUUUCAAAGCGACAAACUAUAAUAUGGCCGAAAUACAAAAUUUGCAAGAUAUAAAUAAAGAAGAGUUGAUCAACUCUGUUAGAUUUUACCCUUGUCUUUAUGACAAAAGAUCAAUUGGGUAUAAAAAUACCCAGAAAAAUAAUUCCAUACGGAAAUCCAUAGCAGCAGAAAAUAGUAUUGAGACAGUAUAGAUAACUAAAUCUACAUAAAAGAAUCUAAGAGAUUCUUUUUUGAGGGAACAUAAAAAGUGGGUCAGGGGCUGAUAACAGUCCCACCUGGAAAUUUUAUAAUAAUUUAACUUUUUUGAUUCCCACUAUAGAAUCUGGGAAACAAUACACCAACCUGAAAAAAAUAAAACCUCUUAUACCUAAUAUUGGUGAAGCAAACAUUGCUAGAGCAAUGUUUGAACAGAUGAGUGGAAAUUUCCAAUAUGAAGAUGAGAUUAGUCAGAGUCAAUCUACAGAUGUUAGGAAUGAUGGUGAUUAUAUUUUAUAUAAAUAAUAUUAUAUAUUUAGCAACACCAUCAACUAGUGAAUCUUAUGUACCUGGCAAAAAGUUAAUUAAAAAGAG